UAACCACUAAAGACUGGAGAAUGCAUUCCAAGCCAGCUUUAGCAGUCACCACAGAAAUUGCCUGGUGCUUUUAAGAAGAACCCCAUGCCAAGUGGAGGACGGUGUGAGAAAUGCAGAAUGUGAUGGGGUAACUUGGCUGUGAUGUGCCUGCUCCCAUUUGCCUUCCACCAUGACUGGAAGCUCCCUGAGGCCUCCUCCAAAGCAGAAGCUGCCAUGCUUCCUGUACAGCCUGCAGAACCGGUCAGCAAAACCCAAGAAAGCCUUCAAGACCCCUGCACUGCAGGACAGACACACCCAUCCUGCCACUGCCUUGAUGGCGGUGACUGCUCCAACACUGCUUACAGAUUCAGACAAAUCCGAGAGACAGCUGUCCCUGAUAUGUUCAAGACUCUGCCAGCUCAACAGGCUGUGGGAAAACCAAAGAAAUAAU
rnacentral:lncRNA from 1 species